rnacentral:rRNA from 1 species
GGCGAGUAACACGUGGAUAACCUACCUAUAAGACUGGGAUAACUUCGGGAAACCGGAGCUAAUACCGGAUAAUAUUUUGAACCGCAUGGUUCAAAAGUGAAAGACGGUCUUGCUGUCACUUAUAGAUGGAUCCGCGCUGCAUUAGCUAGUUGGUAAGGUAACGGCUUACCAAGGCAACGAUGCAUAGCCGACCUGAGAGGGUGAUCGGCCACACUGGAACUGAGACACGGUCCAG